rnacentral:rRNA from 1 species
ACUCCUGCGGGAGGCAGCAGUGGGGAAUUUUGGACAAUGGGCGAAAGCCUGAUCCAGCCAUGCCGCGUGCAGGAUGAAGGCCUUCGGGUUGUAAACUGCUUUUGUACGGAACGAAACGGCCUUUUCUAAUAAAGAGGGCUAAUGACGGUACCGUAAGAAUAAGCACCGGCUAACUACGUGCCAGCAGCCGCGGUAAUACGUAGGGUGCAAGCGUUAAUCGGAAUUACUGGGCGUAAAGCGUGCGCAGGCGGUUAUGUAAGACAGUUGUGAAAUCCCCGGGCUCAACCUGGGAACUGCAUCUGUGACUGCAUAGCUAGAGUACGGUAGAGGGGGAUGGAAUUCCGCGUGUAGCAGUGAAAUGCGUAGAUAUGCGGAGGAACACCGAUGGCGAAGGCAAUCCCCUGGACCUGUACUGACGCUCAUGCACGAAAGCGUGGGGAGCAAACAGGAUUAGAUACCCUGGUAGUCCCA